CCUACGGGCGGCAGCAGUGAGGAAUAUUGGUCAAUGGACGAGAGUCUGAACCAGCCAAGUAGCGUGAAGGAUGACUGCCCUAUGGGUUGUAAACUUCUUUUAUAUGGGAAUAAAAUGUUCCACGUGUGGGAUUUUGUAUGUACCAUAUGAAUAAGGAUCGGCUAACUCCGUGCCAGCAGCCGCGGUAAUACGGAGGAUCCGAUCGUUAUCCGGAUUUAUUGGGUUUAAAGGGAGCGUAGGUGGAUUGUUAAGUCAGUUGUGAAAGUUUGCGGCUCAACCGUAAAAUUGCAGUUGAAACUGGCAGUCUUGAGUACAGUAGAGGUGGGCGGAAGUCGUGGUGUAGCGGUGAAAUGCUUAGAUAUCACGAAGAACUCCGAUUGCGAAGGCAGUUCACUGGACUGCAACUGACACUGAGGCUCGAAAGUGUGGGUAUCAAACAGGAUUAGAUACCCGUGUAGUC
rnacentral:rRNA from 1 species